rnacentral:rRNA from 1 species
AGGAAGAGAAAGAAAAUUCGAUUCCCUUAGUAGCGGCGAGCGAAAUGGGAAGAGCCCAAACCAACAAGCUUGCUUGUUGGGGUUGUAGGACACUCUAUACGGAGUUACAAAGGACGACAUUAGACGAAUCAUCUGGAAAGAUGAAUCAAAGAAGGUAAUAAUCCUGUAGUCGAAAAUGUUGUCUCUCUUGAGUGGAUCCUGAGUACGACGGAGCACGUGAAAUUCCGUCGGAAUCUGGGAGGACCAUCUCCUAAGGCUAAAUACUCUCUAGUGACCGAUAGUGAACCAGUACCGUGAGGGAAAGGUGAAAAGCACCCCGGAAGGGGAGUGAAAUAGAACCUGAAACCGUGUGCUUACAAGUAGUCAGAGCCCGUUAAUGGGUGAUGGCGUGCCUUUUGUAGAAUGAACCGGCGAGUUACGAUUUGAUGCAAGGUUAAGCAGUAAAUGUGGAGCCGUAGCGAAAGCGAGUCUGAAUAGGGCGUUUAGUAUUUGGUCGUAGACCCGAAACCAGGUGAUCUACCCUUGGUCAGGUUGAAGUUCAGGUAACACUGAAUGGAGGACCGAACCGACUUACGUUGAAAAGUGAGCGGAUGAACUGAGGGUAGCGGAGAAAUUCCAAUCGAACCUGGAGAUAGCUGGUUCUCUCCGAAAUAGCUUUAGGGCUAGCCUCAAGUGAUGAUUAUUGGAGGUAGAGCACUGUUUGGACGAGGGGCCCCUCUCGGGUUACCGAAUUCAGACAAACUCCGAAUGCCAAUUAAUUUAACUUGGGAGUCAGAACAUGGGUGAUAAGGUCCGUGUUCGAAAGGGAAACAGCCCAGACCACCAGCUAAGGUCCCAAAAUAUAUGUUAAGUGGAAAAGGAUGUGGCGUUGCCCAGACAACUAGGAUGUUGGCUUAGAAGCAGCCAUCAUUUAAAGAGUGCGUAAUAGCUCACUAGUCGAGUGACACUGCGCCGAAAAUGUACCGGGGCUAAACAUAUUACCGAAGCUGUGGAUUGUCCUUUGGACAAUGGUAGGAGAGCGUUCUAAGGGCGUUGAAGCAUGAUCGUAAGGACAUGUGGAGCGCUUAGAAGUGAGAAUGCCGGUGUGAGUAGCGAAAGACGGGUGAGAAUCCCGUCCACCGAUUGACUAAGGUUUCCAGAGGAAGGCUCGUCCGCUCUGGGUUAGUCGGGUCCUAAGCUGAGGCCGACAGGCGUAGGCGAUGGAUAACAGGUUGAUAUUCCUGUACCACCUAUAAUCGUUUUAAUCGAUGGGGGGACGCAGUAGGAUAGGCGAAGCGUGCGAUUGGAUUGCACGUCUAAGCAGUAAGGCUGAGUAUUAGGCAAAUCCGGUACUCGUUAAGGCUGAGCUGUGAUGGGGAGAAGACAUUGUGUCUUCGAGUCGUUGAUUUCACACUGCCGAGAAAAGCCUCUAGAUAGAAAAUAGGUGCCCGUACCGCAAACCGACACAGGUAGUCAAGAUGAGAAUUCUAAGGUGAGCGAGCGAACUCUCGUUAAGGAACUCGGCAAAAUGACCCCGUAACUUCGGGAGAAGGGGUGCUCUUUAGGGUUAACGCCCAGAAGAGCCGCAGUGAAUAGGCCCAAGCGACUGUUUAUCAAAAACACAGGUCUCUGCUAAACCGUAAGGUGAUGUAUAGGGGCUGACGCCUGCCCGGUGCUGGAAGGUUAAGAGGAGUGGUUAGCUUCUGCGAAGCUACGAAUCGAAGCCCCAGUAAACGGCGGCCGUAACUAUAACGGUCCUAAGGUAGCGAAAUUCCUUGUCGGGUAAGUUCCGACCCGCACGAAAGGCGUAACGAUUUGGGCACUGUCUCAACGAGAGACUCGGUGAAAUCAUAGUACCUGUGAAGAUGCAGGUUACCCGCGACAGGACGGAAAGACCCCGUGGAGCUUUACUGUAGCCUGAUAUUGAAAUUCGGCACAGCUUGUACAGGAUAGGUAGGAGCCUUUGAAACGUGAGCGCUAGCUUACGUGGAGGCGCUGGUGGGAUACUACCCUAGCUGUGUUGGCUUUCUAACCCGCACCACUUAUCGUGGUGGGAGACAGUGUCAGGCGGGCAGUUUGACUGGGGCGGUCGCCUCCUAAAAGGUAACGGAGGCGCUCAAAGGUUCCCUCAGAAUGGUUGGAAAUCAUUCAUAGAGUGUAAAGGCAUAAGGGAGCUUGACUGCGAGACCUACAAGUCGAGCAGGGUCGAAAGACGGACUUAGUGAUCCGGUGGUUCCGCAUGGAAGGGCCAUCGCUCAACGGAUAAAAGCUACCCCGGGGAUAACAGGCUUAUCUCCCCCAAGAGUUCACAUCGACGGGGAGGUUUGGCACCUCGAUGUCGGCUCAUCGCAUCCUGGGGCUGUAGUCGGUCCCAAGGGUUGGGCUGUUCGCCCAUUAAAGCGGUACGCGAGCUGGGUUCAGAACGUCGUGAGACAGUUCGGUCCCUAUCCGUCGUGGGCGUAGGAAAUUUGAGAGGAGCUGUCCUUAGUACGAGAGGACCGGGAUGGACAUACCUCUGGUGUACCAGUUGUCGUGCCAACGGCAUAGCUGGGUAGCUAUGUGUGGACGGGAUAAGUGCUGAAAGCAUCUAAGCAUGAAGCCCCCCUCAAGAUGAGAUUUCCCAACUUCGGUUAUAAGAUCCCUCAAAGAUGAUGAGGUUAAUAGGUUCGAGGUGGAAGCAUGGUGACAUGUGGAGCUGACGAAUACUAAUCGAUCGAAGACUUAAUCAA